GAGUUUGAUCCUGGCUCAGAUUGAACGCUGGCGGCAGGCCUAACACAUGCAAGUCGAGCGGAUGACGGGAGCUUGCUCCUUGAUUCAGCGGCGGACGGGUGAGUAAUGCCUAGGAAUCUGCCUGGUAGUGGGGGACAACGUUUCGAAAGGAACGCUAAUACCGCAUACGUCCUACGGGAGAAAGCAGGGGACCUUCGGGCCUUGCGCUAUCAGAUGAGCCUAGGUCGGAUUAGCUAGUUGGUGAGGUAAUGGCUCACCAAGGCGACGAUCCGUAACUGGUCUGAGAGGAUGAUCAGUCACACUGGAACUGAGACACGGUCCAGACUCCUACGGGAGGCAGCAGUGGGGAAUAUUGGACAAUGGGCGAAAGCCUGAUCCAGCCAUGCCGCGUGUGUGAAGAAGGUCUUCGGAUUGUAAAGCACUUUAAGUUGGGAGGAAGGGCAGUAAGCUAAUACCUUGCUGUUUUGACGUUACCGACAGAAUAAGCACCGGCUAACUCUGUGCCAGCAGCCGCGGUAAUACAGAGGGUGCAAGCGUUAAUCGGAAUUACUGGGCGUAAAGCGCGCGUAGGUGGUUCGUUAAGUUGGAUGUGAAAGCCCCGGGCUCAACCUGGGAACUGCAUCCAAAACUGGCGAGCUAGAGUACGGUAGAGGGUGGUGGAAUUUCCUGUGUAGCGGUGAAAUGCGUAGAUAUAGGAAGGAACACCAGUGGCGAAGCGACCACCUGGACUGAUACUGACACUG
rnacentral:rRNA from 2 species